UACGUAGGGUGCAAGCGUUAAUCGGAAUUACUGGGCGUAAAGCGUGCGCAGGCGGUUCGCUAAGUCCGAUGUGAAAUCCCCAGGCUUAACUUGGGAACUGCGUCUGAUACUGGGAGGCUUGAGUGCGGGAGAGGGAUGUGGAAUUCCAGGUGUAGCGGUGAAAUGCGUAGAUAUCUGGAGGAACACCGGUGGCGAAGGCGGCAUCCUGGACCGACACUGACGCUGAGGCGCGAAAGCUAGGGGAGCAAACGGG
rnacentral:rRNA from 1 species